AACGCUGGCGGCGGCCUAACAAUGCAAGUCGAGCGCCGUAGCAAUACGGAGCGGCAGACAGGAGAGUAACACGUGGGAACGUACCCUUUGGUUCGGAACAACCCAGGGAAACUUGGGCUAAUACCGGAUAAGCCCUUACGGGGAAAGAUUCAUCGCCGAAGGAUCGGCCCGCGUCUGAUUAGCUAGUUGGUGGGGUAAUGGCCCACCAAGGCGACGAUCAGUAGCUGGUCUGAGAGGAUGAUCAGCCUCACUGGGACUGAGACACGGCCCAGACUCCUACGGGAGGCAGCAGUGGGGAAUAUUGGACAAUGGGCGCAAGCCUGGUCCAGCCAUGCCGCGUGGGUGAUGAAGGCCCUAGGGUUGUAAAGCCCUUUCGGCGGGGAAGAUAAUGACGGUACCCGCAGAAGAAGCCCCGGCUAACUUCGUGCCAGCAGCCGCGGUAAUACGAAGGGGGCUAGCGUUGCUCGGAAUCACUGGGCGUAAAGCGCACGUAGGCGGAUUGUUAAGUCAGGGGUGAAAUC
rnacentral:rRNA from 1 species